rnacentral:tRNA from 1 species
GUAGCUGUGGCUCAGUGGCAGAGCACUUGCCUAAAACACAUGAGGCUCUGGGUUCAAUUCCCAACGUUGCCA